rnacentral:rRNA from 1 species
AUUGAACGCUGGCGGCAGGCCUAACACAUGCAAGUCGAACGAGUGGCGGACGGGUGAGUAAUGUCUGGGAAACUGCCUGAUGGAGGGGGAUAACUACUGGCAACGGUAGCUAAUACCGCAUACCAUCAGAUGUGCCAAGAGGGGAGUAGCUUGGUGGUGGGGUAACGGCUCACCAAGGCGACGAUCCCUAGCUGGUCUGAGAGGAGGACCAGUCACACUGGAACUGAGACACGGUCUAGAGUCCGACGGGAGGCAGCAGUGGGUAAUAUUGCACAAUGGGCGCAAGCCGGAUGCAGCCAUGCCGCUGGUAUGAAGAAGGCCUUAGGGUUGUAAAGUACUUUCAGCGGGGAGGCGUUACCCGCAGAAGAAGCACCGGCUAACUCCGUGCCAGCAGCCGCGGUAAUUC